GACGAACGCUGGCGGCGUGCUUAACACAUGCAAGUCGAGCGGUAAGGCCCUUUCGGGGGUACACGAGCGGCGAACGGGUGAGUAACACGUGGGUGACCUGCCCUCAGCUCUGGGAUAAGCCUGGGAAACUGGGUCUAAUACUGGAUAUGACUCCACGGUGCAUGUCGUGGGGUGGAAAGCCUUGUGCGGCUGAGGAUGGGCCCGCGGCCUAUCAGCUUGUUGGUGGGGUGANGGCCUACCAAGGCGACGACGGGUAGCCGGCCUGAGAGGGCGACCGGCCACACUGGGGCUGAGACACGGCCCAGACUCCUACGGGAGGCAGCAGUGGGGAAUCUUGCGCAAUGGGCGAAAGCCUGACGCAGCGACGCCGCGUGAGGGAUGACGGCCU
rnacentral:rRNA from 1 species